AAAGCCUCUUAAGCUCCUCCGGAGGCUGCCGGGAGCCACGGGGGAGUUCUUGCGGUUCUCCCCGAGAGACGGAGGGGGCUCCGGUUCCUUUGACCGCUCUUAGCGCUGCUGGAGCUGGGAAGCGGUACCAGGGGCUGCUUUUAAAAUGGAGCUUUGGGGGGGUCUCUUUAAUGUUCUCGUUGUGUCGUUUUGUUUCAGGCUGCUGUGAGACCUCUCGCGGUAAGGAUCCGCCCAAACCGGUGUGAGCCGUUUUGGUAGUAACGGGACCGUGCAGGCGGCGAGGGCUCGGGAGCCGCGAGGAUCUCUUCGGCUGGAGCGGGAGGCUGCCGGGCUCCCGGACCCCGCUCUUCCCGGGGCCGGCGUAGGGCUGCCGCCGGGCUUCCCCGGCUGUUUGCUGUCGAUACAGCGUCGCCGCCCGGCUCCCAUCGCGUUUUCGGAGGGAGCUGCCGCUCAGGUCCUUAAGUCCUACCGCAGCCCCGGGGUGCUCUGAGCCUCCCUCUUCCUAGGGUUGUUUGUAGCGGGUGCUUCGGUUCUUCAGGCUCUCAUCGGCUGAGCGAGUGUUCCGGCAGAGCCUCUCCUCGCUCCAAAGCGGUGAGCUCGUGGAAGCGGUGAGCGUUGGGGAGUCAGCUGGUAAGAUCUCUCUUCUCGGGGUUUAUGUAGGGCUGUUGCUCGGCUACCUCUGCACCUUCGGGAUCGGCACGGCGCCGCUUCUGGGCUCCCGCGUGGCCUUUUAGAGAAGAGCCGGCACGAGGCCGCUGCCCGACGGCUCGAGACCGAGCGCGGCCCCGGGGCGGCCUCAGCCCCCGAGGAGGGUUCUACUGGUGCUCCAGCCCCCCCGUUUCCAGCGGUGGGAGCGAGCAGGAUGGGAACACUUGUUUUCUUUUUUUCUCCCCCUUCCUUCACGUGGGACUUCAGGAGCACGGUUUUGUGCCUACCGUGGAGACCUGGUGGGGCAGCUUGCAUGACCGGAAUGCUGUUGUGGAUGGCUUUGUUCCUUUUAGGAAAGACAGACCGGCCAGGUGGUGGAGUCUCUCUUCCAGUGAGAGAAUGGAAAUGUAUCGAGCUCUGCCUCGGGGUGAAUGAAGAACUAGCGGAGCGCUUGCAUGUGAGGCUCAAGAGGCAGGUAAAUGUGGGUGACAUCACUGUGGGUGGUAUCUCUACUGGCAGGAGACCUGCAGGGUUGAAUGAGGAACUCAAGAUGAACUUGAAGGGGAAAAGGAAGACUUGGGCUAAGGAAGACGAUGACCCUCUCAGUAUCACCUUUGGGAAGGGAGGUCAAGGCUAAUAGAAGUUGGUCAAUGGGAGAAAGGAGACUAGAGCGGGCCUCUGCUUUACAAGGUGGAGGCCCUGGUAAUAGAGUAUGUGCUGAAUGUAUUUUUGGUUUCAGUGGUCGCUGCUGAGUCUGCUCCUUGGGAUCCCUGGAUUCUGGAGGAAAUAGUUUUAGAGGAAGGAUGACUUCCUCUUGAUUGUGGAGGAGCUGGUCAAAGGUCAUUUAGGCAAACUCUCUGUCACGUUUCCUCUGUUCUUUCCUAUAGGAAAGGUGCCCAAAGACUGGAGGAUAGCUGAUGUCACCUCAGCCUUCGGAAAGGGUGAGGAGGAUGGCCUGUGUGUAUGGGAACUGUUGAAUCACAGCCUGAACCUUUGAUUCCUCCACCUGAGGAGAGUGCCGAGUCAGCUGCAGGGGCACAGGUGAAUGCAAUUUCACCUGAGUGAGGGGAAGAGGUGGAGCCUGGCUCCAUCCCUCCUAGAUGCCAUUUAAGGGCUGACUCCCAAGGAGGAAGGAUCUCUGGCUGGAGAUCCUCUUGGAGCCCUUCUGUAAGCCCAGGACAUGGGUAAGAUCUUUAUUUCAUUUCUCCUUUGUAAUGUGUUAUUCUCUGUGGUCCAAUACCUGUAUACCUGUUUGUCAUACAGCUGUGCAACUGUAGGUUGGUUAGCCUCACCUCCCUUCCUGGAAUGGCAAUGUAACAACUGCUUCUGGAUGUCAUCUCCAAGCAACUGGAAGAGAAGAAAUGUCUAAGGAGCGGUCAAGGGUGAAGGCUGCAGGGAGGAUUGGCUGGAAUACGUGAGCUGCUUUUUUCCAGUGCUGGGAUGAAGGAGGUGAGAGAUGGGGACCCACCAGUGGGUCCCCUGCUAGCAGAGGGCUGCCUUCUGUGUGGUUCACAGGUCUUCCUGCAGGUUCAGGGCUGGAGUGAGGUCUGAAGGUGUGUGGCAGGUUCUCUCUUGGAGGAAUGGAACUGAUGAAGUGCUGGAGUUUGGGGUCCUGGUGCAGCUGUUGUCUGAAGGUCCUGAUCCUGGGCUGGGAGGUGCAGCGCUGGAUCUGCUGAAGGAGCAGAGGCAAGAGCUGAAUUUCUGCAUGGCAGCAUCUCUUGAAUGCAGUAGAGCUUCCCCAGCUUGAAGAUGGGUGUGCUAUCCAUAUGCCAGAGGAGUGGCAUCAACUGUCUUGUAAUAAACUUCUCAUUUCCUUUUUUAAGAUGAGCCCACUGCGACCUCUCUGGUUUCUUACUAGUUAACUCAGGAGCGUGCUUCUCAGAGAAACUCUUUGUGUUGAAUCUCAGUGAGUGAGUUACUGUGAACCUUCCUCCCAAACUGAGACUGAACUCGAGCAGAAGUGACAAUAUGUUGUACUCUGCAUGUAGCUCUUUAACAGAAGACAUGGAACUCUGGGGUUGUGCCUUUGUGUUAAAUGUUUGCAUGCAGUGUAUUGCAUCUUCAUGUGAGAGUCUGCAGUUAAUAAACUUUGCUUUUAAUUAGUUAA